CUACGGGGGGCUCCAGUGGGGAAUAUUGCACAAUGGGCGCAAGCCUGAUGCAGCCAUGCCGCGUGUAUGAAGAAGGCCUUCGGGUUGUAAAGUACUUUCAGCGGGGAGGAAGGGAGUAAAGUUAAUACCUUUGCUCAUUGACGUUACCCGCAGAAGAAGCACCGGCGAACUCCGUGCCAGCAGCCGCGGUAAUACGGAGGGUGCAAGCGUUAAUCGGAAUUACUGGGCGUAAAGCGCACGCAGGCGGUUUGUUAAGUCAGAUGUGAAAUCCCCGGGCGCAACCUGGGAACUGCAUCUGAUACUGGCAAGCUUGAGUCUCGUAGAGGGGGGUAGAAUUCCAGGUGUAGCGGUGAGAUGCGUAGAGAUCUGGAGGAAUACCGGUGGCGAAGGCGGCCCCCUGGACGAAGACUGACGCUCAGGUGCGAAAGCGUGGGGAGCAAACAGGAUUAGAUACCCUCGUAGUC
rnacentral:rRNA from 1 species